rnacentral:lncRNA from 1 species
UGUCCGUACAGAUGUGCGAUAUGCAUACAAAGCAAAUGGUAGCUUCUCGUGCCAAUCUUUAUAUGUCUCAGUCAUUUUCCCAAUAAUCUUCUUAAUAUUCUUGUUGGCUGCUUCAACAGCUCCGUUCAUUUUCAGGCGAUAGGGUGACGAGUUAUGAUGCUUUAUUUGAAACUGCUAACACACUUCCUUCAUCAUUUUGUUGUUCAGAUUCAAGGCGUUACCUGAAAUGAUUCUCUCAGGCAAACCAUAUCGACAAAUGAUUUCCUUUUUCAAAAAUCUG